UCAUGACGCCAGGGACUGUGAGAUUUUGUUGUUUAAUUUUUUUCCAAUCUCUCCUGGGCGGCCGCGCUACAAUCGAUAAGUUGGCUACAGUCGGCCAACUAGUUCACUCUUUACCUCUUUUCGGAAAUAGAUGACGAGUGAUUUCUCCAAAUUAUCUUAUAAUCUGAGACACCAUUGUCACUAUCAAGUUUAACAAGAAAAACAGGUGCCAAGACAAGAAGAUUUAAGACAAAAUAGAUAUAAUGUAUGAAAAAACAAUACGAAACCCACUACAAACAUUCGUUGAAAACUUGUAUGCCAAAUGUGCUUUUUAAUACAUGCAGAGGAAUGUUACCAGUAAGAGCUUCCUUUCAACUUCUUGUGCUGGAGGAGGAACUGGAUUAUUUGAAGUCAAGAAAAUAUUUAUAAGCAUCAGUUACAAUUCAAGGAAAGCAGGAGUAGGGAAGAAAUUGAAAUUUGUCAGAAAAUGGACUUAUUAAGCAAAUACCUUAAUGUAAUAUAGAUAAGAUCAUUAAUGUUGGUUCUGACUAUCUGUCAAAAUAGUUACAAUCUGAAAUAAAUCUACAAAGUGAGACUUCUGCCACCUUAUAACAAACAUUUGUUUCAAAUCCCAGUGAUAUUUGGGAAUAUCAUAGCUUUAGAUACUGUGAAUUCACAAUUCUGUCCCUUAUUUUCUCUGUGAACUUAGUUUACUAUUUCUUAAACUCAUUGAAUCUCUUUUGUUUUUGUUUUUUUGUUAAUCUCUAAAUUGGCAAAUAUUUUGCACCUAAUGAGGCUGGCUUAAGAAUCAGUAAAGUAAAAGCUUGCUUAUCACAGUGCUAAAUAAGUAGGUAAUAUUCAUGAAUGGUAUAAGUUUAUACUUUUAUUUGUCCAUUAUUCAAAUCUUAUAGCAUUUUCUAAUUCAACCUUUCAUGAAUCAUUUUUUUUAGUGAACCAGUCCACAAUGAUAAUACUGUCUUAUCACUUUUAUAAUUUAAAAUCUGUGCCAAAUGAUUCUCAGUUUUCUCAUGAAUUAUUUAUAACUCUUUCAUGUACAUUGAACUUUGGGUAUAGAAGAGAAUGCAUAAUUUUUGUACACAGAAAUAUUUGACCAAGAGUUAUUGAGUAUGUGAUCUCUGAUAAGUGAUUUAACCUCAGUAUACUCAUCAGUGAAGUAGGGUUAUAAUACUGCUCCAUUGGGUUUUUGUGGUAAUAUUAAAUGUGAUAACAUUAAAUGUGGAAAUAUUAAAUGUGAUUAACAGUAGAGAAUCCUCAAUAAAG